rnacentral:rRNA from 1 species
CCCUUAGAUGUUCUGGGCUGCACGCGCGCUACACUGAAGCUAUCAACACGUUUUCCCUCCCUGAGAAGGGCGGGUAACCUUUUGAAUCAACUUCGUGGUAGGGAUCGGGGCUUGCAAUUGUUCCCCGUGAACCAGGAAUUCCUAGUAGACGCGAGUCAUAAGCUCGCAUCGAUUAAGUCCCUGCCCUUUGUACACACCGCCCGUCGCUACUACCGAUUGAACGUUUUAGUGAGGCAUUUGGACCGACGCAUCUCAGUUUAACCGCUGGUUUGUGUUGGAAAGACUUCCAAACUUGAGCGUUUAGAGGAAGUAAAAGUCGUAACA